rnacentral:rRNA from 1 species
CAGCAGCCGCGGUAACACCAGCACCUCGAGUGGUCAGGAGGUUUAUUGGGCCUAAAGCAUCCGUAGCCGGUUGCAUAAGUUUUCGGUUAAAUCUAUGCGCUUAACGUAUAGGCCGCCGAAAAUACUGUGCAGCUAGGGAGUGGGAGAGGUACACGGUACUCGAUAGGAAGGGGUAAAAUCCUUUGAUCUAUUGAUGACCACCUGUGGCGAAGGCGGUGUACCAGAACACGUUCGACGGUGAGGGAUGAAAGCUGGGGGAGCAAACCGGAUUAGAUACCCGCGUAGUCCCUGUCUCUUAUAA